UGGGGAAUAUUGCGCAAUGGGGGCAACCCUGACGCAGCCAUGCCGCGUGUGUGAAGAAGGCCUUCGGGUUGUAAAGCACUUUAAGUGGGGAAGAAAAGCGUAGCGUUAAUAGCGUUGCGCCGUGACAUUACCCACAGAAUAAGCACCGGCUAACUCCGUGCCAGCAGCCGCGGUAAUACGGAGGGUGCGAGCGUUAAUCGGAAUUACUGGGCGUAAAGCGCGCGUAGGCGGUUUGUUAAGUCAGCUGUGAAAGCCCCGGGCUCAACCUGGGAACUGCAGUUGAUACUGGCCGACUAGAGUACGAGAGAGGGAGGUAGAAUUCCAUGUGUAGCGGUGAAAUGCGUAGAUAUAUGGAGGAAUACCGGUGGCGAAGGCGGCCUCCUGGCUCGAUACUGACGCUGAGGUGCGAAAGCGUGGGGAUCAAACAGG
rnacentral:rRNA from 1 species